rnacentral:rRNA from 1 species
GACGAACGCUGGCGGCGUGCUUAACACAUGCAAGUCGAACGGAAAGGCCCUGCUUUUGUGGGGUGCUCGAGUGGCGAACGGGUGAGUAACACGUGAGUAACCUGCCCUUGACUUUGGGAUAACUUCAGGAAACUGGGGCUAAUACCGGAUAGGAGCUCCUGCUGCAUGGUGGGGGUUGGAAGGUUUCGGCGGUUGGGGAUGGACUCGCGGCUUAUCAGCUUGUUGGUGGGGUAGUGGCUUACCAAGGCUUUGACGGGUAGCCGGCCUGAGAGGGUGACCGGCCACAUUGGGACUGAGAUACGGCCCAGACUCCUACGGGAGGCAGAAGUGGGGAAUAUUGCACAAUGGGCGGAAGCCUGAUGCAGCAACGCCGCGUGCGGGAUGACGGCCUUCGGGUUGUAAACCGCUUUCGCCUGUGACGAAGCGUGAGUGACGGUAAUGGGUAAAGAAGCACCGGAUAACUACGUG